ACGGAAGGCAGCAGUGAGGAAUAUUGGUCAAUGGGCGGAAGCCUGAACCAGCCAAGUAGCGUGAAGGAUGACGGCCCUACGGGUCGUAAACUUCUUUUGCCGGGGGAUAAAAAACGGGACGCGUCCCGUCUUGCAGGUACCCGUGCGAAUAAGGACCGGCUAAUUCCGUGCCAGCAGCCGCGGUAAUACGGAAGGUCCGAGCGUUAUCCGGAUUUAUUGGGUUUAAAGGGUGCGUAGGCGGGCUGUUAAGUCAGCGGUGAAACCCCCGGGCUCAACCCGGGGACUGCCAUUGAAACUGGCGGCCUUGAGUACGUUGGGAGUGCGCGGAAUGUGUGGUGUAGCGGUGAAAUGCAUAGAUAUCACACAGAACACCGAUCGCGUAGGCAGCGCACUACGCCGCAACUGACGCUGAGGCACGAAGGCGCGGGGAUCGAACAGGAUUAGAUACCCUGGUA
rnacentral:rRNA from 1 species